rfam:Toxocara canis scaffold892, whole genome shotgun sequence.
GUGGCAGUACCUCAGUGAUAGGGCUCCCGCUUCGCACGCGGAAAGACCUGGGUUCGAUUCCCGGCUGCUUUC